GUGACAAAACAAAAGGAAAAGAGUUAGGGAGCGUUUAAAUCGAUGCUUGAUUUUUCUUUCUUUCUAAUUAGAUUUCUACUUUUCAUUUUGGAGAUUAAGGAAAUUUCACGAAGCAAUCUCAGAUUUGUGCAUCGUAGGAAGAGAUGCUUCAAUGUAUAUUUCUCCUCUCCGAUUCUGGUUUACAGGUCAUCGCGUUGAUGGAUCCAUAUGUGCUUGGUUGUAGGAUCAAUCUAUUAGUCAAGGGCCUCAAGGCUAUCCCUUUAAGGUUUAUAUAUAUAUAUAUAUAUAUGCUCGUGGCAGAUUUUCGUUGUGUCCAUUAAUGCCUCAUGAUUGACAUUGGUCUCAUUUUUCACUCGCAAUCGCUUGUUGCUUUUGAGAUCCUCUUUGUUUACAUCUUGAAGAUAAAUAUGGUAGCAAUUUUGAUAGACGUUGUCAGCUAUUCCAUUCAAUG